rnacentral:rRNA from 1 species
AUUGAACGCUGGCGGAAUGCUUUACACAUGCAAGUCGAGCGGCAGCGCGGGGCAACCUGGCGGCGAGCGGCGAACGGGUGAGUAAUGCAUCGGAACAUGUCCAAGUCGUGGGGGAUAGCGCGGCGAAAGCCGGAUUAAUACCGCAUGUGCCCGAGAGGGGAAAGUGGGGGACCUCCAGGCCUCAAGCGACUGGGUUGGCCGAUGUCCGAUUAGCUAGUUGGCGGGGUAAGAGCCCACCAAGGCGAUGAUCGGUAGCUGGUCUGAGAGGAUGAGCAGCCACACUGGGACUGAGACACGGCCCAGACUCCUACGGGAGGCAGCAGUGGGGAAUUUUGGACAAUGGGCGAAAGCCUGAUCCAGCCAUUCCGCGUGAGUGAAGAAGGCCUUCGGGUUGUAAAGCUCUUUCGGCAGGAACGAAACGCUCUAGAUUAAUACCCUGGGGUAAUGACGGUACCUGAAGAAGAAGCACCGGCUAACUACGUGCCAGCAGCCGCAGUAA